rnacentral:rRNA from 1 species
GAACGCUGGCGGCAGGCCUAACACAUGCAAGUCGAACGGUAACAGGAAGAAGCUUGCUUCUUUGCUGACGAGUGGCGGACGGGUGAGUAAUGUCUGGGAAACUGCCUGAUGGAGGGGGAUAACUACUGGAAACGGUAGCUAAUACCGCAUAACGUCGCAAGACCAAAGAGGGGGACCUUCGGGCCUCUUGCCAUCGGAUGUGCCCAGAUGGGAUUAGCUAGUAGGUGGGGUAACGGCUCACCUAGGCGACGAUCCCUAGCUGGUCUGAGAGGAUGACCAGCCACACUGGAACUGAGACACGGUCCAGACUCCUACGGGAGGCAGCAGUGGGGAAUAUUGCACAAUGGGCGCAAGCCUGAUGCAGCCAUGCCGCGUGUAUGAAGAAGGCCUUCGGGUUGUAAAGUACUUUCAGCGGGGAGGAAGGGAGUAAAGUUAAUACCUUUGCUCAUUGACGUUACCCGCAGAAGAAGCACCGGCUAACUCCGUGCCAGCAGCCGCGGUAAUACG